CGGGACGGGACGUUUGCCGGGACGGGACGAUGAACGAGAUCCCGGCUUGUAUAAAUUUCUAUUAUAUUUAUCACCAGAUGUUUAUAUGGAAGCGGGACGUUUUUCGUCCCGUCCCGGACAAGCGGGAUCCCGGUUUGUGCAACCGGGAUCCCGCCUCAACCGGGACGUUUUCUUCCAUGUAAACACUUGUUGCCGGGACGGGAUGGAAGGCGGGAUGAUUUUGG